UGGCGGACGGGUGAGUAACGCGUGGGUAACCUGCCUCAUACAGGGGGAUAACAGUUAGAAAUGACUGCUAAUACCGCAUAAGACCACAGUACCGCAUGGUACAGGGGUAAAAACUCCGGUGGUAUGAGAUGGACCCGCGUCUGAUUAGGUAGUUGGUGGGGUAACGGCCUACCAAGCCGACGAUCAGUAGCCGACCUGAGAGGGUGACCGGCCACAUUGGAACUGAGACACGGUCCAA
rnacentral:rRNA from 1 species